AUUGAACGCUGGCGGCAGGCCUAACACAUGCAAGUCGAACGAGUGGCGGACGGGUGAGUAAUGUCUGGGAAACUGCCCGAUGGAGGGGGAUAACUCCUGGAAACGGUAGCUAAUACCGCCUACCAUCGGAUGGACCCAGAUGGGAUUAGCUAGUAGGUGGGGUAACGGCUCACCUCGGCGACGAUCCCUGGCUGGUCUGAGAGGAUGACCAGCCACACUGGAACUGAGACACGGUCCAGACUCCUACGGGAGGAAGCAGUGGGGAAUAUUGCACAAUGGGCGAAAGCCUGAUGCAGCCAUGCGGAGUGUAUGAGGAAGGCCUUCGGGUUGUAAAGUACUUUCGGCGGGGAAGCGUUACCCGCAGAAGAAGCACCGGCUAACUCCGUGCCAGCAGCCGCGGUAAUUC
rnacentral:rRNA from 1 species